CCUAGUUAGUAGCUUUUCCUUAUGCAUUAGAGUACCCUCGUGUACUAGUUGAUAUUUUGGAUAGAUAUCAGAGAGCUACUUGUAUUUUGAAGAAAACAUGUACUUACAUUUUGGAAGAUGAAAAUAUAAUAUAUUCAAAUAAUGUAAAUGUUGAAUGAUUGUGAUAGUUAGACUAUCUCUCUUUAUACACUUGUAUAUCACUUGUGGUUCUUGCUCUUAGAUGUAUUGCACUUGUGUGCAUCGUAUUUGAUCAUGUAUGUUAUUUAAGCAAAUUCCUGGGUGCUUAAUUGUACAUGAUCUGGUUGCUUGGCCUUGGGCGGACAGGAGAGGUACUGUCCGUUCGGCGGUCCGUCCGAUGUGCCCGAACCGUGCCAAUUUGGUAGUGGAUUCGGGGCGGGGCGUGACAAUGGGUUAGUGGUUGAAAGGGUGAAAGAGUGGGGAAAAGGUGGAGUGCAGGUUCUGGAGGAAAAAGAAUGGGUUUUUAAUAGGUUCCCGCUAUUUUUAAGGGUAGUUUUGAUAUAUCCACUAAUAAAUUUAGAGAAGCAGACGGAACACUCACGGAACCAUGAUAGCAGGGGGCCUUGUGCACAAUUCCGUAAUUAUGAGAGGACAAAGUGUAAGUUUUCAAAUGUCAGGGGAGAAAGUGAAAAAGCGGGUUAUUACAUAAAAGUUUUGUAUAAUUUAGCCUAAUAAUAAUAAUAGUCAUAGUAAUAAAAUUAUUAGGGAUAAUUACCUACAUACCCCUCAAAACUUUGAAAAUAUCUCAUUUAUCCCUGCUUUUUUUAUUUCCAAUAUACCCCUCAUUUGCUCCUCCGUUAUUCCAAAACACCCCUACAGUUACCACCCGUUAAGUUAAUUUAGGUUAAAUGUGAGUUAAAUAUCUACGAGGGUUAAAAAAAAAAUCAAAAUGCCUCUUUUAUCCUUAACUUGAGGGCAAAUAAAAAAUAUUGGUGAUGUGGUAGAAGGGUAUAUUUGGAAGACCAAAAAUCAAAAUACUUUUUGUGCCCCUAACUUAAGGGCAAAUAAAAAAGUCGGUGAUGGUAGAAGGGUAUAUUUGAAAGGACAAAAUAAUAAUUUCAUAGAGAUAACAGCUAUUGUUAACAGUUCAUUAACAAAAUUUGACUGUAAGGGUAUAUUUGAAAUAUGUUGGAACGUAAAAAAGGUAUUUUCAAUAUUAACUUUCUAAAAAGGAUAAAUCAGAAAGUCGAAAACUUUUCAGAAGGAUUUAAGCAAUUGCCCCAAAUUAUUAUUAUUAUAUUAUA
rnacentral:lncRNA from 1 species